rnacentral:tRNA from 1 species
GCAUUGAUGGUUCAGUGGUAGAAUUCUUCCCUUUUGCACAAGAGACCUGGGUUUAAUUCCUGGCCAAUGCA